GGAAUCUUAAGGCCGCGGACCAUGGAGCAGACAUAGGAACCGACAGACGCAGCCGAGUGCCGCACCUGCCCGAAGACAUACUAUCACCUGCGGUCACACGGUCUAAUAAAUAACUCCAUAGCUAAUAAUAAUUAAUGUAAUGAAACAUCUGUAGAAACUGUGCAAAUACGCAAUGUGCAAAAUGUACUGUGCAAACUAUGGCAAAUAAAGUGCAAAGUGCUGUUAA